rnacentral:rRNA from 1 species
CUACGGGCGGCUGCAGUGGGGAAUUUUGGACAAUGGGCGAAAGCCUGAUCCAGCCAUUCCGCGUGAGUGAUGAAGGCCUUCGGGUUGUAAAGCUCUUUCAGCCGGGAAGAAAUCGUGCAGGCUAAUAUCCUGCAUGGAUGACGGUACCGGACCAAGAAGCACCGGCUAACUACGUGCCAGCAGCCGCGGUAAUACGUAGGGUGCGAGCGUUAAUCGAAAUUACUGGGCGUAAAGCGUGCGCAGGCGGAUGUUUAAGCCAGAUGUGAAAUCCCCGGGCUUAACCUGGGAAUGGCAUUUGGAACUGGACAUCUAGAGUGUGUCAGAGGGGGGUGGAGUUCCACGUGUAGCAGUGAAAUGCGUAGAGAUGUGGAGGAACACCGAUGGCGAAGGCAGCCCCCUGGGAUAACACUGACGCCCAUGCACGAAAGCGUGGGGAGCAAACAGGAUUAGAUACCCGCGUAGUC